rnacentral:rRNA from 1 species
UACGUAGGGUGCGAGCGUUGUCCGGAAUUACUGGGCGUAAAGAGCUCGUAGGUGGUUUGUCGCGUUGUUCGUGAAAACCGGGGGCUUAACCCCGGGCGUGCAGUGGAUACGGGCCGGCUGGAGGCAGGCAGGGGAGAAUGGAAUUCCCGGUGUAGCGGUGAAAUGCGCAGAUAUCGGGAGGAACACCGGUGGCGAAGGCGGUUCUCUGGACCAUUACUGACGCUGAGGCACGAAAGCUAGGGGAGCAAACAGG